GGAGCGGUGGACUGGUUACGAGUGAGAAUGUUGGCAUCAGUAGCGAGAUGUGGGUGAGAAUCCCACAGGCCGAAAACCUAAGGUUUCCUCAGGAAGGUUCGUCCGCUGAGGGUUAGUCGGGACCUAAGCCGAGGCCGAAAGGCGUAGGUGAUGGACAACUGGUUGAUAUUCCAGUACCACUACCAUCGUUAUUAUCGAUGGCGUGACGCAGGAGGAUAGUGUGUGCUAGCUAUUGGAUGCUAGUCUAAGCGUUUAGGCAGUGAGAGUAGGCAAAUCCGCUCUCAUAAUGCU
rnacentral:rRNA from 1 species